ACAUAUCUGGAUAUCACCGGGCCGCGCAUCACGGUUUGCUCCCUGUCCAUUUCGCCCCUUCUGAGCAGAUCCAUGCAGCUCACCUGCUGUGCGCCAUGGCACACCUCUCCAAAGUCGUCCUCUCUAAGCAUGUGAUGGAUGAGGACGUCAGCAACAAGAGAAGAGUGAAGGCAGCCAGAGAAACGAGUCACAUUUCUGUUACCUGAGGCAUAUUUCCUUCUGCUAUUUAGUAGCCUAAUAAAACGAAAAAAGAAAAACGCGCUUGUUCCUUGGGGAAGUCUGGGUUGCUGGGUUGUUUCUGGCAACCCUGCUGUGCCAGAGCCUUUUCUAUACCUGCCUUCUGCAGAAGUGGAGGCAGUGACACGGCAGAGGUGCAGUGACGGGAGCUGAAGUGAAGGACUUGGUGAUUAUAGCAUAUCAGUGGCAAUGUAACUUUUUUAUUGGAUAGACCAAAAUCUAGUUGAAUGUGAUAAUUAGCUUUUAUUUUUGAUUGCAGCUCAUCUAUUUUCAUGCUGAACAACAGUUUGCCUCAUUUGGCAAAUUGAAGGUGAUGCUUACUUUCAGAGGGGAAAUGAUUCACGCACAACACACUGAUGGUGUUUCUCUGUAUUUUAUUUCUGUGUUAAAGAAUAGAGGAUUUAAUAUUUAUAUGGAAUAAUAACAAGUGUCUCAAAUGUCAUUGCUUUCAUUUUAUUAAAUAUUAAUACGGUUUUCAUUAGUUGGCAUAGGUGAUUGACAAAAGCAAACCUUUUCAUAAAUGAGAGCAUAGAUGAUAUAUUUGUUUCAUAUGUUUUAAACAUGAAUGUGUUUUUUGUUCUUAUGACAUAAAAGAUUUAUUUUUACGAAAGUUGA